rnacentral:misc_RNA from 1 species
GAUGAAGAACGUAGUGAAAUGCGAUAAGUAAUGUGAAUUGCAGAAUUCAGUGAAUCAUCGAAUCUUUGAACGCACAUUGCGCCCAUUAGUAUUCUAGUGGGCAUGCCUGUUCGAGCGUCAUUAAGUCCACUUAAGCCCUGCUUAGUGUUGGGAGACUGCUCCAGCGGUGCUACCCUGUAGCUUCCCUGCAGCUCCUCAAAGACAGCGGCGGAGUUGUGGUAUCCUCUGAGCUUAGUAACUUGUUCUAGCUUUCGAGUACACCACUUCCCCUGCCGUAAAACCCUUAAUUUUUAAUGGUUGACCUCGGAUCAGGUAGGAAUACCCGCUGAACUUAAGCAUAUCAAUAAGCGGAGGA